rnacentral:rRNA from 1 species
AGAGUUUGAUCAUGGCUCAGAUUGAACGCUGGCGGCAUGCCUUACACAUGCAAGUCGAACGGCAGCACGAGAGCUUGCUCUUGGUGGCGAGUGGCGAACGGGUGAGUAAUAUAUCGGAACGUACCCUAGAGUGGGGGAUAACGUAGCGAAUGUUACGCUAAUACCGCAUACGAUCUACGGAUGAAAGUGGGGGAUCGCAAGACCUCAUGCUCAUGGAGCGGCCGAUAUCUGAUUAGCUAGUUGGUGGGGUAAAAGCUCACCAAGGCGACGAUCAGUAGCUGGUCUGAGAGGACGGCCAGCCACACUGGAACUGAGACACGGUCCAGACUCCUACGGGAGGCAGCAGUGGGGAAUUUUGGACAAUGGGCGCAAGCCUGAUCCAGCAAUGCCGCGUGAGUGAAGAAGGCCUUCGGGUUGUAAAGCUCUUUUGUCAGGGAAGAAACGGUGGACUCUAAUACAGAUCACUAAUGACGGUACCUGAAGAAUAAGCACCGGCUAACUACGUGCCAGCAGCCGCGGUAAUACGUAGGGUGCAAGCGUUAAUCGGAAUUACUGGGCGUAAAGCGUGCGCAGGCGGUUGUGCAAGACAGAUGUGAAAUCCCCGGGCUCAACCUGGGAAUUGCAUUUGUGACUGCACGGCUAGAGUGUGUCAGAGGGGGGUAGAAUUCCACGUGUAGCAGUGAAAUGCGUAGAGAUGUGGAGGAAUACCGAUGGCGAAGGCAGCCCCCUGGGAUAACACUGACGCUCAUGCACGAAAGCGUGGGGAGCAAACAGGAUUAGAUACCCUGGUAGUCCACGCCCUAAACGAUGUCUACUAGUUGUCGGGUCUUAAUUGACUUGGUAACGCAGCUAACGCGUGAAGUAGACCGCCUGGGGAGUACGGUCGCAAGAUUAAAACUCAAAGGAAUUGACGGGGACCCGCACAAGCGGUGGAUGAUGUGGAUUAAUUCGAUGCAACGCGAAAAACCUUACCUACCCUUGACAUGUCUGGAAUCCUUGAGAGAUCAGGGAGUGCUCGAAAGAGAAUCAGAACACAGGUGCUGCAUGGCUGUCGUCAGCUCGUGUCGUGAGAUGUUGGGUUAAGUCCCGCAACGAGCGCAACCCUUGUCAUUAGUUGCUACGAAAGGGCACUCUAAUGAGACUGCCGGUGACAAACCGGAGGAAGGUGGGGAUGACGUCAAGUCCUCAUGGCCCUUAUGGGUAGGGCUUCACACGUCAUACAAUGGUACAUACAGAGGGCCGCCAACCCGCGAGGGGGAGCUAAUCCCAGAAAGUGUAUCGUAGUCCGGAUUGUAGUCUGCAACUCGACUACAUGAAGUUGGAAUCGCUAGUAAUCGCGGAUCAGCAUGUCGCGGUGAAUACGUUCCCGGGUCUUGUACACACCGCCCGUCACACCAUGGGAGCGGGUUUCACCAGAAGUGGGUAGCCUAACCGCAAGGAGGGCGCUCACCACGGUGGGAUUCGUGACUGGGGUGAAGUCGUAACAAGGUA